GAGGAAAAGAAACUAACAAGGAUUCCCCUAGUAACUGCGAGUGAAGCGGGAAGAGCUCAAAUUUAAAAUCUGGCAGUCUCUGGCUGUCCGAGUUGUAAUUUAGAGAAGUGUUGCCCGCGCUGGACCGUAUACAAGUCCUCUGGAAUGGGGCGUCAUAGAGGGUGAGAAUCCCGUCUUUGAUACGGACUACCAGUGCUUUGUGGUGCGCUCUCGAAGAGUCGAGUUGUUUGGGAAUGCAGCUCAAAAUGGGUGGUAAAUUCCAUCUAAAGCUAAAUAUAGGCGAGAGACCGAUAGCGAACAAGUACCGUGAGGGAAAGAUGAAAAGAACUUUGGAAAGAGAGUUAAACAGUACGUGAAAUUGCUGAAAGGGAAACGCUUGAAGUCAGUCGCGUCGCUCAAGAAUCAGCCUUGCUUUUGCUUGGUGUACUUUUUGUUCGACGGGUCAGCAUCAGUUUCGACCACUGGAUAAGGGCCAGGGAAAUGUGGCAUCCUCGGAUGUGUUAUAGUCUCUGGUCGUAUACAGUGGUUGGGACUGAGGAACUCAGCACGCCGCAAGGACGGGUCUUUGACUACGUUACGUGCUUAGGAUGCUGGCAUAAUGGCUUUAAUCGACCCGUU
rnacentral:misc_RNA from 1 species